rnacentral:rRNA from 1 species
AGUGAACGCUGGCGGUAGGCCUAACACAUGCAAGUCGAACGGCAGCACAGUAAGAGCUUGCUCUUACGGGUGGCGAGUGGCGGACGGGUGAGGAAUACAUCGGAAUCUACUUUUUCGUGGGGGAUAACGUAGGGAAACUUACGCUAAUACCGCAUACGACCUACGGGUGAAAGCAGGGGAUCUUCGGACCUUGCGCGAAUGAAUGAGCCGAUGUCGGAUUAGCUAGUUGGCGGGGUAAAGGCCCACCAAGGCGACGAUCCGUAGCUGGUCUGAGAGGAUGAUCAGCCACACUGGAACUGAGACACGGUCCAUACUCCUACGGGAGGCAGCAGUGGGGAAUAUUGGACAAUGGGCGCAAGCCUGAUCCAGCCAUACCGCGUGGGUGAAGAAGGCCUUCGGGUUGUAAAGCCCUUUUGUUGGGAAAGAAAAGCAGCAGGUUAAUACCCCGCUGUUCUGACGGUACCCAAAGAAUAAGCACCGGCUAACUUCGUG